rnacentral:rRNA from 1 species
GGCGGCAGGCCUAACACAUGCAAGUCGAGCGGUAACAGGUCCAGCUUGCUGGACGCUGACGAGCGGCGGACGGGUGAGUAAUGCAUAGGAAUCUACCCAGUCGUGGGGGAUAACCUGGGGAAACCCAGGCUAAUACCGCAUACGUCCUACGGGAGAAAGCGGGGGCUCUUCGGACCUCGCGCGAUUGGAUGAGCCUAUGUCGGAUUAGCUGGUUGGUGGGGUAACGGCUCACCAAGGCGACGAUCCGUAGCUGGUCUGAGAGGAUGAUCAGCCACACUGGGACUGAGACACGGCCCAGACUCCUACGGGAGGCAGCAGUGGGGAAUAUUGGACAAUGGGCGAAAGCCUGAUCCAGCCAUGCCGCGUGUGUGAAGAAGGCUUUCGGGUUGUAAAGCACUUUCAGUGGGGAAGAAGGCUUGUCGGCCAAUACCCGGCAAGAGCGACAUCACCCACAGAAGAAGCACCGGCUAACUCCGUGCCAGCAGCCGCGGGUAAUA